AGACCCGAAACCCGGUGAUCUAGCCAUGGGCAGGUUGAAGGUUGGGUAACACUAACUGGAGGACCGAACCGACUAAUGUUGAAAAAUUAGCGGAUGACCUGUGGCUGGGGGUGAAAGGCCAAUCAAACCGGGAGAUAGCUGGUUCUCCCCGAAAGCUAUUUAGGUAGCGCCUCGUGAAUUCAUCUCCGGGGGUAGAGCACUGUUUCGGCUAGGGGGCCAUCCCGGCUUACCAACCCGAUGCAAACUGCGAAUACCGGAGAAUGUUAUCACGGGAGACACACGGCGGGUGCUAACGUCCGUCGUGAAGAGGGAAACAACCCAGACCGCCAGCUAAGGUCCCAAAGUCAUGGUUAAGUGGGAAACGAUGUGGGAAGGCCCAGACAGCCAGGAUGUUGGCUUAGAAGCAGCCAUCAUUUAAAGAAAGCGUAAUAGCUCACUGGUCGAGUCGGCCUGCGCGGAAGAUGUAACGGGGCUAAACCAUGCACCGAAGCUGCGGCAGCGACACUAUGUGUUGUUGGGUAGGGGAGCGUUCUGUAAGCCUGUGAAGGUGGCCUGUGAGGGUUGCUGGAGGUAUCAGAAGUGCGAAUGCUGACAUAAGUAACGAUAAAGCGGGUGAAAAGCCCGCUCGCCGGAAGACCAAGGGUUCCUGUCCAACGUUAAUCGGGGCAGGGUGAGUCGACCCCUAAGGCGAGGCCGAAAGGCGUAGUCGAUGGGAAACGGGUUAAUAUUCCCGUACUUGGUGUUACUGCGAAGGGGGGACGGAGAAGGCUAUGUUGGCCGGGCGACGGUUGUCCCGGUUUAAGCGUGUAGGUGUGUGUUCCAGGUAAAUCCGGUUCACUUUAACACUGAGGCGUGAUGACGAGGCACUACGGUGCUGAAGCAACAAAUGCCCUGCUUCCAGGAAAAGCCUCUAAGCAUCAGGUAACAUCAAAUCGUACCCCAAACCGACACAGGUGGUCAGGUAGAGAAUACCAAGGCGCUUGAGAGAACUCGGGUGAAGGAACUAGGCAAAAUGGUGCCGUAACUUCGGGAGAAGGCACGCUGACAUGUAGGUGAAGUGAUUUACUCAUGGAGCUGAAGUCAGUCGAAGAUACCAGCUGGCUGCAACUGUUUAUUAAAAACACAGCACUGUGCAAACACGAAAGUGGACGUAUACGGUGUGACGCCUGCCCGGUGCCGGAAGGUUAAUUGAUGGGGUCAGCGCAAGCGAAGCUCCUGAUCGAAGCCCCGGUAAACGGCGGCCGUAACUAUAACGGUCCUAAGGUAGCGAAAUUCCUUGUCGGGUAAGUUCCGACCUGCACGAAUGGCGUAAUGAUGGCCAGGCUGUCUCCACCCGAGACUCAGUGAAAUUGAACUCGCUGUGAAGAUGCAGUGUACCCGCGGCAAGACGGAAAGACCCCGUGAACCUUUACUAUAGCUUGACACUGAACAUUGAGCCUUGAUGUGUAGGAUAGGUGGGAGGCUUUGAAGUGUGGACGCCAGUCUGCAUGGAGCCGACCUUGAAAUACCACCCUUUAAUGUUUGAUGUUCUAACGUGGACCCGUAAUCCGGGUUGCGGACAGUGUCUGGUGGGUAGUUUGACUGGGGCGGUCUCCUCCUAAAGAGUAACGGAGGAGCACGAAGGUUGGCUAAUCCUGGUCGGACAUCAGGAGGUUAGUGCAAUGGCAUAAGCCAGCUUGACUGCGAGCGUGACGGCGCGAGCAGGUGCGAAAGCAGGUCAUAGUGAUCCGGUGGUUCUGAAUGGAAGGGCCAUCGCUCAACGGAUAAAAGGUACUCCGGGGAUAACAGGCUGAUACCGCCCAAGAGUUCAUAUCGACGGCGGUGUUUGGCACCUCGAUGUCGGCUCAUCACAUCCUGGGGCUGAAGUAGGUCCCAAGGGUAUGGCUGUUCGCCAUUUAAAGUGGUACGCGAGCUGGGUUUAGAACGUCGUGAGACAGUUCGGUCCCUAUCUGCCGUGGGCGCUGGAGAACUGAGGGGGGCUGCUCCUAGUACGAGAGGACCGGAGUGGACGCAUCACUGGUGUUCGGGUUGUCAUGCCAAUGGCACUGCCCGGUAGCUAAAUGCGGAAGAGAUAAGUGCUGAAAGCAUCUAAGCACGAAACUUGCCCCGA
rnacentral:rRNA from 2 species